AGCAGCCGCGGUAAUUCCAGCUCCAAUAGCGUAUAUUAAAGUUGUUGCAGUUAAAAAGCUCGUAGUUGAAUUUCGGGAUCAAUAUAUCGGUCGUGCCUUGGUACGUACUGGUAUCAUUGGUUUCUCCUUUCUGACGAACCAUGAUGUCAUUAAUUUGGUGUUAUGGGAAGUUAGGACUGUUACUUUGAAAAAAUUAGAGUGUUUAAAGCAGGCUUUAGCUUGAAUACAUUAGCAUGGAAUAAUGAAAUAGGACGUUCGAACCUAUUUUGUUGGUUUCUAGGAUCAACGUAAUGAUUAAUAGGGAUAGUUGGGGGCAUUAGUAUUCAAUUGUCAGAGGUGAAAUUCUUGGAUUUAUUGAAGACUAACUACUGCGAAAGCAUUUUGCCAAGGAUGUUUUCAUUAAUCAAGAACGAAAGUUAGGGGAUCGAAGACGAUCAGAUACCGUCGUAGUCUUAACCAUAAACUAUGCCGACUAGGGAUCGGAUGAUGUUAAUUUUUUCAAUGACUCAUUCGGCGCCUU
rnacentral:sRNA from 1 species